rnacentral:rRNA from 1 species
UACGGAGGGAGCUAGCGUUGUUCGGAUAUACUGGGCGUAAAGCGCACGUAGGCGGCGCCGUAAGUCAGGGGUGAAAUCCCGGAGCUCAACUCCGGAACUGCCCUUGAAACUGCAGUGCUAGAAUCUUGGAGAGGCGAGUGGAAUUCCGAGUGUAGAGGUGAAAUUCGUAGAUAUUCGGAAGAACACCAGUGGCGAAGGCGACUCGCUGGACAAGUAUUGACGCUGAGGUGCGAAAGCGUGGGGAGCAAACAGC